CCUCUUCGGUGUUCGGCGCCUCGUGUGUCCCGUCUCGGCGCCCCGUCGCGUUUGCGUUUCUCCCCCUUUCGUUUCAAUCGUUCUUUCUUCUCCGCUUGGUUCGAUUCGUUUUGUGGCGCCGCAUUUGCCCUUACGUGCUCGCAGAUUCCUGGGUCGAUCGCGCCCGCCUCCUUGCGACGCGGGGACCGACUCUGAGUUAAUUUGGUCGACGAUUUUCGUUUGGUGUUCGCCUUCUCGGCGUGUGGGUUGCAGGAUUAGAUCCCAAUUGGGUGUUGGAGUUCGUCGCCAUGGCCUCGCUUGGCAAGGGAUCAGACUCUGGAGGUUGCGGCAGGUCAGUCUCUCACCAGAUCAGGCAGUUCCAUUUGUUUUGUCACUGGGAUCCGGAGGUUUCAGACUCGACUAGUCCCCACACGUGAUCUUCUCAUCCAUGCUGAAUCAUCGGUUAUUACUCUGCACAUGAGGUAGGCUCGAGGCCCUGGUUAAUUUCUGACCGUAACCGCUUAUCUCGGUUUUGGUAUGUGUACGCAUGUCGUCCUUCACAUGCACAAGGAAUCUCGAUUACUGGUCAAGGAGCAAUACUGAAGGGUGGAGGUUUGCCUAUCAUUGAUUGGUUCCAGUUUGUUUUGAAACGACGGUGGUAUGUGAAGUGUGUGCUGCAAAUAAUUAGAAACUCGAUCAUCCUGAUUGGAAAUUGUUACUGAAUCAACAGGCGUGGAGGUUUACAUUGUUACGGUUAUCGGAAUGGAAUUGUCUAGACCAGGGUUCAUAGCAUAAGCAGAGCAAGACUGUUUGGAUAUCUCAAUCAUUUAAUUUAUUGGUAAUUGGUAUGCACAGUCUAGUUUAUGAUCACUGCAAUCUUGAUUUGGAUUAACCAGUAGGGGGGCACCCCGCCUGUUUCAUCAAAAACAAUUGAUUUAGAUUGGUUGUUCUUCUCCAGCUAUUUUGUUACACAGGUUGCUGAUUGCGAUGAGUGAGUCUGCUGUCUUACAGACAAAGGCCUCGCUACCUUUGGUGUGUCUGCAGUUGGGAGGAGACUUACUUUGCUGUCAUAUUAAGUUAUCUCUCUCUAUAUAAAUCUGUAACUAUGUUGAAAUUCGGACAUUCUGAUUAAUCAGCAGUGGUAGAAGAUACCAGCAUAUUUUGGAGCUUCAAUCCAAGACAGAUGAGGAAUUUUCUAACUGAAAAAACUUAGGUGCUGCCCUAUUAAACUUUUUGACACUCAAUUCAACUCUUUUCAAGUCGCAGAUCUUUUAGCUCAUCUGACCAGUACUCUGGUAGUGUGUCCGGUUGGGUGUUGUGAUGUCUGGUUUGGGGCAUCUAUCUGCAUGGUUUGAUUUGCUUCAUCUAAUUUCUGUCUAUAUUUUGUGCUCGCCCUCUCUGCAUAUUGAUUGCAGAAUUAGUAUGACAUUGGAAGUAUCUAUAGCAGAAAAAUGACACCUAAUAAUUGGGAGAAGGUCCAGCGCCUAGUCGAUGAUACAUUGGUUUGAUUAACUGCAUUUGGUGAUUCCAGGUCUGAAUGGUUAGUUGUGCAUUAUUUUGGCUCGCUCUCUAAUGAACAAAAAUGAUCUUAUGAUCCCAUAA